rnacentral:snRNA from 1 species
GUGCUCGCUUCGGCAGCACACACAUUAAAACUGGAAUGAUACAGAGAAGAUUAGCAUGGCCCCUGCGCAAGGAUGACAUACAAAUUCAUGAAACGUUCCAUAUUUUU